rnacentral:tRNA from 1 species
UUAUUAAUAGUUAAAAGAUAUAACGCUAAACUGCAAUUUUAGAAUUGAUUAACCCCUCCCAUAUCUUAAUAAA